rnacentral:rRNA from 1 species
AUUGAACGCUGGCGGCAUGCCUUACACAUGCAAGUCGAACGGUAACAGGUCUUCGGAUGCUGACGAGUGGCGAACGGGUGAGUAAUACAUCGGAACGGGCCUAGUGGUGGGGGAUAAUUACUCGAAAGAGUGGCUAAUACUGAAUGAGAUCUACUGGGGAAAGCGGGGGAUCGCAAGACCUCGCGCGAUUGGAGCGGCCGAUAUCAGAUGAGGUAGUUGGUGGGGUAAAGGCUCACCAAGCCAACGAUCUGUAGAUGGUCGGAGAGGACGACCAGCCACACUGGGAAUGAGACACGGCCCAGACUCCUACGGGAGGCAGCAGUGGGGAAUUUUGAACAAUGGACGCAAGUCUGAUCCAGCCAUGCCGCGUGCGGGAAGAAAGCCUUCGGGUUGUUAACCGCUUUUGUCAGGGAAGAAACGCUCUGGGUUAAUACCUCGGGGUAAUGACGGUACCUGAAGAAUAAGCACCGGCUAACUACGUGCCAGCCGCCGCCGUAA